AGAGCUUGCUCUUAUGAAGUUAGCGGCGGACGGGUGAGUAACACGUGGGUAACCUGCCCAUAAGACUGGGAUAACUCCGGGAAACCGGGGCUAAUACCGGAUAACAUUUUGAACCGCAUGGUUCAAAAUUGAAAGGCGGCUUCGGCUGUCACUUAUGGAUGGACCCGCGUCGCAUUAGCUAGUUGGUGAGGUAACGGCUCACCAAGGCAACGAUGCGUAGCCGACCUGAGAGGGUGAUCGGCCACACUGGGACUGAGACACGGCCCAGACUCCUACGGGAGGCAGCAGUAGGGAAUCUUCCGCAAUGGACGAAAGUCUGACGGAGCAACGCCGCGUGAGUGAUGAAGGCUUUCGGAUCGUAAAACUCUGUUGUUAGGGAAGAACAAGUGCUAUUUGAAUAAGCUGGCACCUUGACGGUACCUACCCAAAAAGCCACGGCUAAUUACGUGCCACCACCCGCGGAAAUACGUAGGUGGCAAGCGUUAUCCGGAAUUAUUGGGCGUAAAGCGCGCGCAGGUGGUUUCUUAACUCUGAUGUGAAAACCCCCCGGCUCACCCGGGGAGGGUCUUUGAAAACUGGGAUACUUGAGUGCAAAAGAGAAAGUGAAUUUCCAUGUGUAGCGGUGAAAUGCGUAAACAUAUGGAGGAACACCAGG
rnacentral:rRNA from 1 species